rnacentral:ncRNA from 1 species
AAAAUCAUGCAAAUUCAAUAAAUUGCAUAAACUAUGUAGGCCU